rnacentral:rRNA from 1 species
GAUGAACGCUGGCGGCGUGCUUAACACAUGCAAGUCGAACGGAAAGGCCCAAGCUUGCUUGGGUACUCGAGUGGCGAACGGGUGAGUAACACGUGGGUGAUCUGCCCUGCACUUCGGGAUAAGCCUGGGAAACUGGGUCUAAUACCGGAUAGGACCACUUCUUGGAUGUUGUGGUGGAAAGUUUUUUCGGUGUGGGAUGAGCUCGCGGCCUAUCAGCUUGUUGGUGGGGUAAUGGCCUACCAAGGCGUCGACGGGUAGCCGGCCUGAGAGGAUGACCAGCCAGACGGGAACUGAGACAGGGUCCAGACUCUGACGGGAGGCAGCAGUGGGGAAUAUUGCACAAUGGGGGAAAGCCUGAUGCAGCCAUGCGGGGGGUAUGAAGAAGGCCUUCGGGUUGGAAAGUACUUUCAGCGGGGAGGAAGGGAGGAAAGUUAAUAACGUUGGUCAUUGACGUUACCCGCAGAAGAAGCACCGGCUAACUCCGUG